rnacentral:sRNA from 1 species
UUGCAAAAUCGCAAGGGAGGGCUGAGAACCCUCGGGUUCGAGCCGAGCUGCUUAGCUGCGAGACAACAUCGGAGAACGAAGUGACGAUGAUCCGAAGGACAAGCGCGAAGCGCGCGUAAUCCCUCCCUCAAAAGAG